CCAAUUUAAUUUAAGCAUAUUAGUUAGUGGAGAAGAAAUUUAGCAAAGAUUCCAUCAGUAAUGGCAAAUGAACACAGAAAAGCCCCAGUAUAGAAUUCCUGCUCCACAGUGGCAUGCUGGAAAUGUGGUAUACCGAAGAACCAUUCCCCAGUAUUGCUCACAGAGGACCCAAACGCCUCUGACUGAGGCUCGGCCUGUGGAUGGUGUGAGUACAGUAGCAGCCUCUGGAGCACUAGGCUUGGAUAUUAUUGGGCUCGUGUUGUGUUGUAGUUUAUUUAAAUGUCCCCCACCAAAGCCUCAUUCAGUCAUGGAGCGACUGAAUCUAGCAUUUAUGAUGGGUUCGUUGUCAUCUAGCGUUCAGAUUGGUAUUGUGAGUGUUUCACCAGCCCAGGGGUGGAGCAGAAGGUGAGUCUUCCUCUCAUGCUUUUGAUUCACUUUUGCUGUUUGCAGAGGCCAUAAAGGACUCCCUGCCAUGCCAUCCUACCUUGCAGUCAGCUGAUUAUGGAAUGAAACCCCCAAGAACUGUAAGAAAUAAACCUUUCCUUUCCUAAUUUUGGGCGUCAAGUAUUUUGUCUCAGCGAGGAGUGAAAUGUAACUAAGACAUGUUGCCUAAGAAUGUAGUCCAAAGUAUAUGGUAAAUUCCAUCUAGAAACUGAAACCUAGCACAAAAAUCAGUAUUUGCCAAGUACCAUAAUGGAAAACUGGAGAGAACAUUAAAGAAAGAGUUCAAGAGCAUGUGAAAUUGUUAAGAGUUGUAUGACCUCAGAUGAGACUUGG
rnacentral:ncRNA from 1 species